rnacentral:rRNA from 1 species
CGGGGUGAGUAAUGUCUGGGAAACUGCCUGAUGGAGGGGGAUAACUACUGGAAACGGUAGCUAAUACCGCAUAACGUCGCAAGACCAAAGUGGGGGACCUUCGGGCCUCAUGCCAUCGGAUGUGCCCAGAUGGGAUUAGCUAGUAGGUGGGGUAACGGCUCACCUAAGCGACGAUCCCUAGCUGGUCUGAGAGGAUGACCAGCCACACUGGAACUGAGACACGGUCCAG